UUUAAGCGAUUACAGGAAGAAAACAAUGAUUUGUACAGCACUUUAAAUGAGCUACAACGUGAAUUUGAAUUUAAACAUAAUAAAACGUUUGCAACCGAACAGAGACGUUUAAAAGAAAUUGAACAGUUAAAAACGGAGCGAAUUCAUUUACAAGACCAAUUAAAUCAAUUGCAAUCAACAGUAGACAAUAUUCUAAGUAUAAAAACCAAUCGAAAAAAACGAUCUCCCUUUUGUUCUCCAGAUCGUAGAUACAUACCGAAGUCUGAACUAAGAUUAGCAACUACAGAGAAAUUCCCAAACGAUUACUAUCAAGCUAUAGCAUGUAAUAAAACAGCAAGAAAUAUUUCGACGAAUGCAGCAUCAACUGACAACUCAGAUCAGUUGGUAAGGUAUAAAUUAGAUCCGCAGACUAAUACUUGUU